rnacentral:rRNA from 1 species
CUACGGGACGCUCCAGUGAGGAAUAUUGCACAAUGGGGGGAACCCUGAUGCAGCAACGCCGCGUGGAGGAUGACGCAUUUCGGUGUGUAAACUCCUUUUAUAUGUCAAGAAAAUGACGGUAGCAUAUGAAUAAGCACCGGCUAACUCCGUGCCAGCAGCCGCGGUAAUACGGAGGGUGCAAGCGUUACUCGGAAUCACUGGGCGUAAAGGACGCGUAGGCGGGUUGGAAAGUCAGGUGUGAAAUCCUACAGCUUAACUGUAGAACUGCACUUGAAACUGCUAUCUAGAGUAUGGGAGGGGGAGAUGGAAUUAGUGGUGUAGGGGUAAAAUCCGUAGAUAUCACUAGGAAUACCUAAAGCGAAGGCGAUCUCCUGGAACAUUACUGACGCUAAGGCGUGAAAGCGUGGGGAGCAAACAGGAUUAGAUACCCUUGUAGUC